rnacentral:rRNA from 1 species
GACGAACCGUGCGAACGUUGUUCGGAAUCACUGGGCUUAAAGGGCGCGUAGGCGGGCACUCAAGUCUGUGGUGAAAUCCGGCAGCUUAACUGUCGAACUGCCGUGGAUACUGGGUGUCUCGAGGGAGGUAGGGGCGUGCGGAACUGAUGGUGGAGCGGUGAAAUGCGUUGAUAUCAUCAGGAACUCCGGUGGCGAAGGCGGCACGCUGGACCUCUUCUGACGCUGAGGCGCGAAAGCCAGGGGAGCAAACGGG